GGGAGAAUGUUGUACUGGAAAAGAGGCUGGAGAGCAGCAGGGAAUCCAGGACUUAGCAGGGUCAAGAUUCUCAGCGGAGGAAUGGAAGAAAGGACACAAGAAGAUGCUGAUCAACUGGCAUUUGUGUUCCAGGACCAUUUAUUUUGGGUUUGAUCCCGGGAAAAUGCUUGCAAAAAACUUCCUGGAUCUAUUGCAGAUAUGACUGUCUCUCUCCACCUGAUAACCCUAAACCAACGUGACUCACGACCCAAGGAGCAUUCUGCGAGAUGGUGCAGGUAGGGCACAAUGCUGUUUGGGAAACAUUGGAGUGCUGCUGUGAUGGCGUGAACAACGUGAUUUAAUUGGUCAAUAUCUCUGGGCUUCUGUUCCGCUGCCUUCAAAUCCAGCCAAGAUACCACCUCGCUUAAUGAUGUUUGGACAAAGGACUUCCAGAAAAUAACUUUGCCAGUGGACGGUGAAAGAAAAUCAAAAGCAAUCAGCGGCCACACAGCUCGCAAACUCAAUCGCAACACAGCGCCCGUUUCCAUUUGAUGGGGUUGGCAUUUCUAAAAACAAUUUCCAGUAGCAAGUGUCUUAGGGAGGUACUGUCUGCACAAUGUCAGAUAGUAAACUGCUUGACAAACAAUUCAGCAUCAAAACCCAAAA